UGUAUAAUGGGUCAGCGACUUAUAUUCUGUAGCAAGGUUAACCGAAUAGGGGAGCCGAAGGGAAACCGAGUCUUAACUGGGCGUUAAGUUGCAGGGUAUAGACCCGAAACCCGGUGAUCUAGCCAUGGGCAGGUUGAAGGUUGGGUAACACUAACUGGAGGACCGAACCGACUAAUGUUGAAAAAUUAGCGGAUGACUUGUGGCUGGGGGUGAAAGGCCAAUCAAACCGGGAGAUAGCUGGUUCUCCCCGAAAGCUAUUUAGGUAGCGCCUCGUGAAUUCAUCUCCGGGGGUAGAGCACUGUUUCGGCAAGGGGGUCAUCCCGACUUACCAACCCGAUGCAAACUGCGAAUACCGGAGAAUGUUAUCACGGGAGACACACGGCGGGUGCUAACGUCCGUCGUGAAGAGGGAAACAACCCAGACCGCCAGCUAAGGUCCCAAAGUCAUGGUUAAGUGGGAAACGAUGUGGGAAGGCCCAGACAGCCAGGAUGUUGGCUUAGAAGCAGCCAUCAUUUAAAGAAAGCGUAAUAGCUCACUGGUC
rnacentral:rRNA from 1 species